rnacentral:tRNA from 1 species
GCCGCGGUCGCCUAGUCAGGUUAGGGCGAGGGGUUGCUAGCCCCUUGGCCGAAAGGCCUCGUGGGUUCAAAUCCCACCCGCGGCG